rnacentral:rRNA from 1 species
CGAUGAAGCCCAGCUUGCUGGGUGGAUUANUGNCGAACGGGUGAGUAACACGUGAGUAACCUGCCCUUAACUCUGGGAUAAGCCUGGGAAACUGGGUCUAAUACCGGAUAGGAGCGUCCACCGCAUGGUGGGUGUUGGAAAGAUUUAUCGGUUUUGGAUGGACUCGCGGCCUAUCAGCUUGUUGGUGAGGUAAUGGCUCACCAAGGCGACGACGGGUAGCCGGCCUGAGAGGGUGACCGGCCACACUGGGACUGAGACACGGCCCAGACUCCUACGGGAGGCAGCAGUGGGGAAUAUUGCACAAUGGGCGCAAGCCUGAUGCAGCGACGCCGCGUGAGGGAUGACGGCCUUCGGGUUGUAAACCUCUUUCAGUAGGGAAGAAGCGAAAGUGACGGUACCUGCAGAAGAAGCACCGGCUAACUACGUGCCAGCAGCCGCGGUAAUACGUAGGGUGCGAGCGUUAUCCGGAAUUAUUGGGCGUAAAGAGCUCGUAGGCGGUUUGUCGCGUCUGUCGUGAAAGUCCGGGGCUUAACCCCGGAUCUGCGGUGGGUACGGGCAGACUAGAGUGCAGUAGGGGAGACUGGAAUUCCUGGUGUAGCGGUGGAAUGCGCAGAUAUCAGGAGGAACACCGAUGGCGAAGGCAGGUCUCUGGGCUGUAACUGACGCUGAGGAGCGAAAGCAUGGGGAGCGAACAGGAUUAGAUACCCUGGUAGUCCAUGCCGUAAACGUUGGGCACUAGG